AACCCUUAUCGGUGCCAAAAAUCCUGUCAUUAAACAGGAAGAGAUAUCAAAUCAUGGUCAAUGCUCAACAGUUAUCAUCAUCAUCUACUAUUGAGAAACCAAAUUAUUAAUAUUUAAUUUUUAGCAGUAAAUUAAUACUAAAAAAGUUUAUGAAAAUGGCACGGUUGGCAGUAAGCUGCAGCAUCCAAAGAAUACAACGGAAAAUUGCAACCAAAACAAAGGAAUGAUGCCGUAUCUAAAAACACAUUCCACAGUUAACAGUAAGCUGCUGCAUGAACAUUAAGGCAUUGGAUCACAUAAAUUAAUACCAAAAAAGUAUACAAAAACUCUAUACGGAGCAUUAACAAACUUGCUCUUCUCAAAUAAAAAAUGGAAAACAAAUUCUCCAUCCUGACUUGUCUACAAGAUCAGUAAAAGAUGAGGUGAUAAGUAGGGGUGAGAAAACUUUGGUGAUAGCCAAAAAAUCCUUCUACAAUCUUAGACCUCGAUAAAGAGGCUCUUGAAGUUGAAAAAGGACAAGAGAAAACUGAUUCACCUACACUUCAGUAAUUAUUUAGAUUUGUACUUCAGUAAAAAAGAGGUAGACCUAAAUUGA
rnacentral:misc_RNA from 1 species